GGACCGCGGGGCGCGGGGAGGACACGGGAGCCUCUGGUGAGGCGCGCUUGUGCCCGCGAUCUGCCCGGGUGUUUCUUCUGUGUUUUCUUCAGCUCGCCACCUAAGCCUGCGUCUGGAUCUGCGCGCCGCGAGUGUUUAUCUUUGUGCCCCAUGCGAUGAAGACGAGAAACCAGAUCUGGGAACCGGGACGUGAGCAGCGGUUUUUUACCAGAGGCUUCCAUCACAACCACCUGGUUCCCUUCCUGACACACAUACACGCCUGACAGUGGGAAGAACAGCACGUUGGAGAAGGAGGGGCUGAAGGUGAGCCUGAAGCCUUGAGACAUCUGCUGGGGGAUGUGUGGAGGUGGUGGAAGGCAUUCCUACCUGAACAACCUUCAUUCACCCUGUUGACCCAAAUCAAGCCCCCACCAGAACGUUUCUGCCCAACGUGCUUCUCUGACGGAUUCACCACAGCACACAGAGAUCUGGUUCCCAUCGGAAGUUUAUUCUGGAUUUCCAGCUCCUGCAGGAAAUGUGAGCGCCUGUCUUCGGCAGAAGCUCUAGCACCAUCUUGUGGAAAUAAAUGCUUUAAAUCACAAGCCUUUCUGUUCCGGAAAUAUUAGUCUUCUUUAAAAAAAAAAAAAAAAUCUA